UACGAAGGGGCUAGGCGUUGCUCGGAAUUACUGGGCGUAAAGGCGCACGUAGGCGGUCUUUUAAGUCGGGGUGGAAAUCCAUGGAGCUCAACUCCAGAACUGCCUUUGAUACUGAAAGUACUUGAGUAUGGGAGGAGGUGAGUGGAACUGCGAGUGUAGAGGUGAAAUUCGUAGAUAUUCGCAAGAACACCAGUGGCGAAGGCGGCUCACUGGCCCAUAACUGACGCUGAGGCACGAAAGCGUGGGGAGCAAACAGG
rnacentral:rRNA from 1 species